UCAGACAUACCAAGAUGAUCUCACAGGCUCAGCUUAUCUGCCUGCUAGUGCUCUGGAUCCCGGAGACCAAUGCACAAAUCGUGCUGACUCAGACUCCAGAAUCCCUGGCAGUUUCUCCUGGAGACACAGUCACUAUCCGCUGCAAAGCCAGUUCAAGCCUCACCAGUGGUAGCUAUCACUUACUAGCCUGGUACCAACAGAAAUCAGGAAAAGCUCCAAAAAUGCUUAUCUAUGAUGCUACCUCCCGGCCAUCUGGGGUUCCAACCCGGUUCAGCGGCAGUGGGUCUGGCACUGACUACACUCUCACAAUCAGCAGAGUUGAAGCUGAAGAUGCUGGAGAUUACUAUUGUCAGCAGUAUAAAAGCUCACCUCUCACAUUGGAAUGA